CUUACAUAAUGCUGCUGAUUAUGUACCAGGCACUGUUCUAACUGGUUCACAUUGACGAGAUGAAUUAAUCUCACAAUAUUUCUAUGAGUAUGAACAUGAAAUACUUGACAUCUGUCAGGCUGACUGGAAAAGGAAGGCCCAAAUCACUCAUCUUCGUAAGGGUGGACCUAUUCUACUGAAGAAUUGAUGUAAGAAGAUAACAGAACAAAAAUCAACAUAUAAACAAACAAGUGUGAGCAAUGCCUGGAUUAUAUCUGCAUUUUAAGUGAGAAGAAGAAAAGUAGAAGAGAACAAGAAAUGAAAGAAGUUAUCCUACACCAGGAAAACAAAAAUUUUUUAAGAAAUCCCUAAAUUACAGUCAUUUAUAUCUUAUUGGCCUGAAGUGUUCACAAUGUCACCAACAGCCACAAAGAAGUUCAGGAAAGCAAAUAAUUCCCAAAAGACAACUGCAGUUUUCAUAGCAAGGAAGAACAGAAGGAUGGUUAUUGGGUAGGCAACCUGCAGAGCCCAAAGCCAACAGCGCGACCAGGCGUGGAUUUUGGUAACACAAAUAGACAAAUACAUCAGUGAUGCAGGGCCAAGCUCUCCAUAGUAGCCCACGAAGUUACAUAGGAUUUUGUUAUAACAAGUCAACUCUAGACAGAUGCGAUAUAAAACUCUUAUAUCUAGAUAUAAA